CUGGCUUUGUGAAGAUUGUUAAAAUGGGUCAGGUAAUACUGCGAUUUUCAGUAAAACAACUUGAGGAGCUGGCAUGUUAUCCAGAUGGAAAUAUCCAGUAAUCAUUUGGAAAUAUGCAAUUGGCCUUUGAAUCAAAAUUGCCAGUUGGGGAUGACAGUGAUGGAAUCAGCUAGCCAAAAGUGACAGCGGAAGAGAAAGUCUGCUGAUUUCUAGCAGUACGUGAAGCUCACGUGGGUUCAGAGACCCUUGUAUAACUCUACUGGAGCUCUACUCCAGGGAAAAUCGUUCACACAAACUGCAUUAAGAAUGCUGCUUCUUCUUUCAUGGUAGGUGGUACCUGGCAGAUGAGCCCAAUCAGACCUAGCCAAGCGAACUACAAUCACAAUAAAAGGCAAGGGGUCCAUUUCUCAGUCAGUGCAGCUUGAAUAUGAAUAAGCAGUAGAUGAAAGAAAAAAAAGUGAAGUUUAUUACUUGUAGCAAGUAAGGAUCACACUGGGAGUAAUUCUCAAUGCAGCAGCCACCCUUAGUCAACAAAACAAAGGGCUCAUCACCACAUUCAUUAACGUGGUAUGUUUGGGUUGUUUUUCCAUACAUAAUUUGUAUGUUGAAAAAGUCAAAGGGUGGGAACACUUCUGGGAGGAGAAUGUAGUAUUAUAAUCAGCAAAAUUUAGCCUAGGCUACCUUAAGAACAUGGGACAUAACUUGGCAAUUCUUUUUGGCUCCAUUUAUGUUUUUUCUGGUGAACCUAGGAAGAAACAAGGAACAACUUUAGAGUACACUUAAGCUUUAUUAAAGGGAACAAGUUUAUCUAGCAGCUGAUAGUUUCUGUAACUACUUCCUUUUUGCUAAUACAAGAUCUCACAUUGACAUGUAUAAGAUGUGAAGGCUGGAGACAUGACUCAAGUGGUUGAGCACCUGCCUAGCACGCAAACACACAUGACCCUGAGAUCAAACUCCAGCACCAUCGAACAAAUACAAGCAAACAAAAAUACUUAUGCAAGGUGAAAGGGGAAGAGUUUGAUUAGUAAAAAGAGGAUAUACAAACCCAGGAAAAAUUGUGUAAUGAAACAUCUCAGGAAGUCUUUGUACUAAGUGGUGUAGCCAAACUAAGACUAUGAGAACUGAGGCUGUGCCAGUGAACAUAAUGGUGGAUAGAAGUAGAUUUUCUUGGAGGUAGUGGAGUCCACUGAGUAAAUGAGGAAGAAUACAAGUCAUGUGAAAGCAAAAUGUUAGUGUCUGAGAAGGAAUGGAAGGACUGUGGACUGAGUAGUCUCAUUGAUUGAAGGAUUUUAAUUUCUUUAGGAAAAACUCACCCUGUUCCUGUAUAGAGUAGAAAUAACCAGGAAACAGGGAAAUACUGAAAGGGGAUGGCUGAUUAAAGAAGAUGUUGAUCAGUAUAUAAGAAAUUGGAAAGACUUGGAAAAAAUUAUAUUAAGCCAAGUAAGACAGACUCAAAGAAACAUAGGUCACAUUGCUUCCCUCAUUUGUAAUAAUUAGAAUGUGCCUACAAAUCUACAAGUCA